GGCUCAGAGACGACCCAAACUGCAAAUUUGGAGAAGAACUUUGGUUCCUGGGUCU
rnacentral:tRNA from 1 species